rnacentral:rRNA from 1 species
GAUGAACGCUGGCGGCGUGCCUAAUACAUGCAAGUCGAGCGAACACAUGAGGAGCUUGCUCCUCUGACGUUAGCGGCGGACGGGUGGGUAACACGUGGAUAACCUACCUAUAAGACUGGGAUAACUUAGGGAAACCGGAGCUAAUACAGGAUAAUAUAUUGAACCGCAUGGUUCAAUAGUUGAAGACGGUUUUGCUGUCACUUAUAGAUGGAUCCGCGCCGCGUUAGCUAGUUGGUAAGGUAACGGCUUACCAAGGCAACGAUGCGUAGCCGACCUGAGCGGAGGAUCAGCCACACUAGAACUGAGACACGGUCCAGACUCCUACGGGAGGCAGCAGUAGGGAAUCGUCCGCAAUGGGCGAAAGCCUGACGGAGCAACGCCGCGUGAGUGAUGAAGGUCUUCGGAUCGUAAUACUCUGUUAUUAGGGAAGAACAAAUGUGUAAGUAACGAUGCACGUCUUGCCGGUACCGAAUCAGAAAGCCACGGCUAACUACGUG